rnacentral:rRNA from 1 species
UGUAUCAGCGGCUAUCGGCCGUACUCCUGAUUCCGCAUGCCGCGUGCGGGAUGAAGGCCUUCGGGUUGUAAACCGCUUUCAGCAGGAACGAAAAUGACGGUACCUGCAGAAGAAGGAUCGGCCCACUAUGUGCCAGCAGCCGCGGUAAUCA